rnacentral:rRNA from 1 species
UACGUAGGGGGGCGAGCGUUGUCCGGAGUUACUGGGCGUAAAGCGCACGCAGGCGGUCUGCUAAGUUUGGAGUGACAGUUGGUGGCUUAACUGCCAAAGUGCUUCGAAAACUGACAGACUUGAGGGCUUCAGAGGGACACGGAAUUCCGGGUGGAGUGGUGAGAUGCGUAGAGAUCCGGAGGAACACCAAAGGCGAAGGCAGUGUCCUGGGGAGUACCUGACGCUCAGGUGCGAAAGCCAGGGGAGCGAACGGG